rnacentral:misc_RNA from 1 species
GAUGAAGAACGCAGCGAAAUGCGAUACGUAAUGUGAAUUGCAGAAUUCAGUGAAUCAUCGAAUCUUUGAACGCAUAUUGCGCUCUUUGGUAUUCCGAAGAGCAUGCUUGUUUGAGUAUCAGUAAACACCUCAACCUCUUCUUGAUUUUUCAAAAGGAGGGUGGACUUGAGCUAUCCCAACAACCUUUACCGGUCGGCGGGCGGCUUGAAAUGCAGGUGCAGCUGGACUUUUAUCUGAGCUAAAAGCAUAUCUAUUUAGUCCUCGUCAAACAGGAUUAUUUCUUUUGCUGCAGCUAACAUAAAGGAUAAUUGUCCUCUUUGCUGACUUAUGCAGGAUUUUACGACACUUUAUGUGUUGUUCAACUCGAUCUCAAAUCAAGUAAGACUACCCGCUGAACUUAAGCAUAUCAAUAAGCGGAGGA